UGCUCAGUUGGUAGAGCGCGAGACUCUUAAUCUCAAAGUCAUGAGUUCAAGCCUCACGUUGGGCAAAA